rnacentral:pre_miRNA from 1 species
UGUUAAAUUUCUAUUUAUUUGUACUGUUAAAAAGUUGACGUGGAUGAUGGAAUAAUAGACAGUAACACGUGGCAUGCUAUAUAUACCUCAUAUUGGAGUACAAGAAUCGGUUUUUAACACUAGAAAUGGGUGAAAUUUAUAACA